rnacentral:rRNA from 1 species
GACAGAGGUGCCAAGCGUUAGGCGGAAUCACUGGGCUUAAAGCGUGUGUAGGCGGAUCGUUAAGUCGGGGGUGAAAUCCUGGAGCUCAACUCCAGAACUGCCUUCGAUACUGGCGAUCUCGAGUUCGGGAGAGGUGAGUGGAACUGCGAGUGUAGAGGUGAAAUUCGUAGAUAUUGGGAAGAACACCAGUGGCGAAGGCGGACUCACUGGCCCGUAACUGACGCUGAGGUGCGAAAGCGUGGGGAGCAAACAGGG